rnacentral:rRNA from 1 species
GACGAACGCUGGCGGCGUGCUUAACACAUGCAAGUCGAACGGUAAGGCCCUUCGGGGUACACGAGUGGCGAACGGGUGAGUAACACGUGGGUGAUCUGCCCUGCACUUCGGGAUAAGCCUGGGAAACUGGGUCUAAUACCGGAUAGGACCCUGGGAUGCAUGUCCUGGGGUGGAAAGCUUUUGCGGUGUGGGAUGGGCCCGCGGCCUAUCAGCUUGUUGGGGGGGUGAUGGCCUACCAAGGCGACGACGGGUAGCCGGCCUGAGAGGGUGACCGGCCACAGUGGGACUGAGAUACGGCCCAGACUCCUACGGGAGGCAGCAGUGGGGAAUAUUGAACAAUGGGCGCAAGCCUGAUGCAGCGACGCCGCGUGAGGGAUGACGGCCUUCGGGUUGUAAACCUCUUUCAGCACCGACGAAGCGCAAGUGACGGUAGGUGCAGAAGAAGGACCGGCCAACUACGUGCCAGCAGCCGCCGUAA